rnacentral:rRNA from 1 species
UACGUAGGGUGCAAGCGUUGUCCGGAAUUAUUGGGCGUAAAGAGCUCGUAGGCGGUCUGUCGCGUCUGCUGUGAAAACCCGAGGCUCAACCUCGGGCCUGCAGUGGGUACGGGCAGACUAGAGUGCGGUAGGGGAGAUUGGAAUUCCUGGUGUAGCGGUGAAAUGCGCAGAUAUCAGGAGGAACACCGAUGGCGAAGGCAGGUCUCUGGGCCACUACUGACGCUGAGAAGCGAAAGCAUGGGGAGCGAACAGG